CCUACGGGUGGCAGCAGUGGGGAAUAUUGGACAAUGGGCGAAAGCCUGAUCCAGCCAUGCCGCGUGUGUGAAGAAGGCCUUCGGGUUGUAAAGCACUUUCAGUGGGGAAGAAAGCCUUGGGGCUAAUACCCUCGAGGAAGGACAUCACCCACAGAAGAAGCACCGGCUAACUCCGUGCCAGCAGCCGCGGUAAUACGGAGGGUGCGAGCGUUAAUCGGAAUUACUGGGCGUAAAGCGCGCGUAGGCGGUCUGAUAAGCCGGUUGUGAAAGCCCCGGGCUCAACCUGGGGACGGCAUCCGGAACUGUCAGGCUAGAGUGCAGGAGAGGAAGGUAGAAUUCCCGGUGUAGCGGUGAAAUGCGUAGAGAUCGGGAGGAAUACCAGUGGCGAAGGCGGUCUUCUGGACUGACACUGACGCUGAGGUGCGAAAGCGUGGGUAGCAAACAGGAUUAGAUACCCGUGUAGUC
rnacentral:rRNA from 1 species